GCUGAAGCAGGUCCCAAGGGUAUGGCUGUUCGCCAUUUAAAGAGGUACGCGAGCUGGGUUUAGAACGUCGUGAGUCAGUUCGGUCCCUAUCUACCGUGGGCGCUGGAAAUUUGAGAGGAUCUGCUCCUAGUACGAGAGGACCAGAGUGGACGAACCUCUGGUGUACCGGUUGUGACGCCAGUCGCAUCGCCGGGUAGCUAUGUUCGGAAGGGAUAACCGCUGAAAGCAUCUAAGCGGGAAGCCUACCUCAAGAUAAGAUUUCCCUAGGACUUUAUGUCCUCUAAAGAGCCGUUCGAGACUAGGACGUUGAUAGGUUGGAUGUGGAAGCAUAGUGAUAUGUGAAGCUGACCAAUACUAAUUGCUCGUGAGGCUUGACUAU
rnacentral:rRNA from 1 species